GGACCUCAGCUAUAGAAAAGGGUUGGUCUUGACCUAUUGCAAUCAACUCCGCACAUAGAUCAUAAUUAGGGGCAAAGAAAGGACUUGUUGACUCCCAUGGUCUAUGGCUGGUCUCUGCAGGUGCAAAAAAUUCAAUAAUAGGUGUGGAAUUUGAGUUGUCCAUAAAGAUGGAAAAAAUAAAAAGAUAAAAGAAUAAAAGUAUAUAAGUAUAAUACAAGAUAAUAGCAAGACUAAAAGUUAUCUCAGCAAACUGUCUUUCUCCCUGGCAACAG
rnacentral:lncRNA from 1 species